CAGCUCCUAUUUGGUUCUACUUAGUUUUAAUUACUCAUUAACUACACAAAUAAUAGAGUUUUAGCCAUUCACGGAUUCCCAAAUUCUUUCUCAACUUAAUUCUUUGGUGUAAGCUCUUGAAUUUGAAAUUCCUAGGCAGCAGCUCCUGGAUCUCGAACACCUGCAUGCAGCGGCGGACGGUGAUCAGUGCCACGAUUGGCAGCAGCGCUGCGAUGGAAAUCCACGCUAGGAGGAGGGAUUUGGACUUGUAGGUGGAUUCUCCCUGAAUAACCGCGAGCACCUGGAGACCACGCUGCGUGAUCUGGACUUGGUCGGCGUGGAGUCCCCAGGUCACGAACUUCGCCUGCCUCUGCAUUUCUGUGCCCAUCAUGGCGAUGACAGCCGAGUAGGAGACGAUGGCCAGCAGCAAGUUGGCGAUCAACAGCAGCGGUCUUGAGGUAGCGGGUUUUCCUUCUCAAGUUUUUUGAACGAAGGCGACUUAGCUGUGAAUUUGUGAGUGGCUUUGUAGUAGCCACCACGGCGAUGAAAGUGCUGGGAAGAGCGAUGGCUGCCACCCAGAAAUCCGUGGCGGCUCCUUGUUCCAGGUUGAGAGCCGAGCUGUGAGCUUGGAUGUACAGGUUCUUGAGCUGGAAGAGGUAUGCUUCAAGGAUACCGACCUCGGAAUCUAUGGUAUCAUUGAAAGAUGGGAUGAAAUCGGUGCCUGCCAGGCACAUAUCUCUCGCUGCUGGCACCACACAGUCGGUAAGGCCUUGGACAUUGUUUAUUUCUGAAAAGUUUGUGUCGUUCCUCCAGGAUGCCGGAGGUGGAUAUAAUCGGUGGAACAGCGAUAGCACGUCUUUUCGGUUCCCAUUGCCUUGGACACACAGGUAGCCUUCGCCAUCGGCGCUAGAGUUUGAGCAUGCAACAAAGCUUCCCGUCGAGCCAGACGCUAAAACAGGUGUGUGUACUUGUUGCUCGCAUUCGCUGAUAUUGACUUCCUCUCCUAGAAAAUUUAGUGGCUGCUCCAUUCCCAAAACCCGGCAGUAUUGCUUGCUACUUGUGCUGUUGAAUUUGUCGUCCAUUUGAUAGCAUCUCUCCACUGCAUAGUAACCCGCGUCAGAAGCUUUCUUCACGACAGCUUUUAUGCCCAGUAUUGUCUCGGCCUGCACCCUCUGGGCCUGCACCCUCCAGGCCUGCCCCGCGGUUGAAAAAUCUCUGGACGCCAUCUGUUUAUCUCCCGACACUUCCCGUCGCAUCUAUCAUCUGUUUCGUUCCGGAACUUCCCACCAGCGUUUUAUGUCUGGAACUUCCCGUCUCAUCUAUCACCGAUUUAACUCCGGAACUUCCCGUCGCAUCUUCAUCUUCAUCUCCGUACAUUAAAUUACGUCUAGCGCUGGUUUUACUGUCAGUCCUUGUCUUGUUUGAGCAGGAGAUAAGUGUGGCAUCUUGAAAGCUUUUGAUUUUCACAUCCGAGCUGUUGAGCAACUUGACUUGGCGGCUGUUGCUGGAGAGCUCGAGAAUUCUUGCUGUUAAAGAGUUGCUAACUGUCUGGCUAAACUUAUCUUCUCCAUUCUCUUUAGAGGUUCUUAUGGACUCGGACAUCUCCCAGACUGUUCUAAACGCUGGCUUCUCCCCGAUCGUAGUGAGUAUGACUGGAGCCACACUGUCGCAAGCCUUACUGUCAUCUUUGUUGUUGUCGCCAACACACAAGUAAGCCAGGAUCCAUACUGUGACACGCAUCGUUCCCAGGCUCUUGAUGUGGUCGACGGACUGGUACUCUGCAAUCGGGGAGAAGCCAGGAUCGAGUUCCUCCCCCUCGUGCCUAACAGACCCUUCUUCUGCCUGAUCUCCGAUUUAGCCCGAUCCGUCAGAUUUUGGUCUUCGUGCCCAAAAUCGCAGCGUGACUGGUUGUGUACAGCGCCAACCAUGUACCGGAGAAAGGCCUCGGGACGCCUGUCCUGGAGGGGGAGGAACUGCCACCAUACCUGUUUGUGGAGGGCUCAUUCUCAGGAUCGCCGUGGAGCUGUCCACCUCCGACAGAUCGCCUUGCUGCACAGAAAUCAGUGCGUGUCCAUGGCACGAGAAGAGAACAAGAAUGCAGGCCGAGAACACAAGCAACUUCAUCUGCGGUGUAAGGCUACGCAGAGAACCCAUGGCUCGGUGUCUCAAUUAUAAAAGCAAAGUUACAAAGAACUUUGAAUAUUUUAAGUGGUUUGUGGGGGAUAUGGAAUGAGAAGAUGCUUUCACACUGAGAUUGAGACUGCAAAUGCUUUCACACUGUUCCCAGGGAUGGACGUGGUUAAGUUCCUG
rnacentral:lncRNA from 1 species